rnacentral:lncRNA from 1 species
GUGGUGUGUGGCUUUUAUUCUCCUAGUCAUGUGACAAUUUUCCCAUUUUCAGGUGUUGCAUCCACAUUUUAGGCAGAAAGAAGAUAAAGAGCAAAUGGCAAAAAGCUGCUGCCAACUGAAUCUGUUCCUGUUCAUCAUUGAAACGAUGACAUUUUCGAAUAUUCAUGGGAGAUGCUUUUGUUUGUACCCCAAUGGCUAGAACUGAGCCAACUGGGUACUUUCAGUUUCUAGGUCAUCUGAGAAGGUGCUCUUGUGCAGAUGCUUGUGCCCAGAAAGAGAGAGAGAAGAGAGAGCCAAAGCUACCCAUCUUGCCAGUGGACAAGAGGAAGCCAGGACACAGCUCUGCUCGCUCGUGCCCAGAGUGAGAAAGAGGAAGACACUACUGUCGGGGACCGUAUCCUUUACAGUAUGUGUUCCACCUACUGCUUCUGUGGAUUCUCUCCAAAACCAGUUCACAGCCACUUGAAAGGGACCUGA